UCUGUAUUGAAUCUGCAGCUUGGAUUUAGAGUUCUAUUUGGUAUAAUGUUGGCUAGGAGGAGAAAACAGGGAAGGCAGAAAAUUAUAAGCCCAAAAUACUGGGGGGUUCUAUGUGAGAAUGAAGCCAGAAUAGAAGAGAACUGAAUCAGGACAUGAAGAGUCAACUUCCUGAAAAAAAAAUCUAGUUGGCAUGGCAAAGGUUGGAUGUUAUGUGCUACAUAGCUCUUCAGGGAUCCAUAUGGGCAAGACUCUAUCAUCUUUGAUCCACAGCUAUUGAAAGUGCUUUGAAUAUCAACAUCCAACUGGUACAUAGGAAAAGACU